CAGAGCCUGACGUGAGACUCGAACUCACGAACUACGCGAUCAUGACAGCCAAAGUUGGAUGCUUACCCAACUGAAUCACCCAGGCACCCCCAAAACACACUUUCAAGGUAUUUGAUGAACAGGUAGAAUUACCCUUUGGAAAGGUUGUACCAAUUUAGAUAGCUAUCAGCAGUGAUUGAGGCCUAUUGUUACCCAUCCUGCCAAUACAGAGUCUAGUCUGUGAUUUCUGUGAUUCAUGUUCAUGUUAGGAAAAUCUGUUUAAAAGUGCACACUACAAAAUUUUAUUUAAAGCCAGCAAGCAUUUAUUGACUGCCAACAAUAGGCAAGGCACCAAGAGUAAUGCAAAGUGCAAAAGAUUACUUCCUGGCUUCAAGGAGUUUGUAGUCUGCUCAAGGAAAAAAAUAAGUCAAAUGUAAUUUAAAGCAAAAUAGACUACCUGUUACAAGAGAGAUGCAAAGGGCAUACAAAUACAAAGGGAUAGAUUUAUUCUAGGUUGGGGGAAGUAAGGGAAUCAAGGAAAGAUUUUUAACAGACAAUGUAGUAGUUAAAAGUAAGGUCUUAAAUUUUUUCCAUAAAGGGCCAAAAAAUAAAUAUUUGAGGGUUUGUGGCCCUUUAGGCCAUCCUGUCUCUGUUGCAGCUACUUAAAUCUGCUGUUAUGGCAUGAAAGCAGCCACAGACACUAUGUUUGUUCUGUACUUCAA